UCAACAUAUGUAUGUUAUUGUUUUUUCUCUAUUGAAGAACCCAUCAUUUUAACUUUUAAAUCAAUUUUCAAAUUAUACUUGGCCUUUGCUUAAUGCAGACACCUUACUAGUGGUUUGGCCAAUGAUGUAUUCUAUUGCACGUAUUAUCAGAUAUAUGUAUCUGAUGAAAUCUUAAAUUGUCACUACCUCUGAGGCCAUCCAUCUCGUAUAGUUAAAUCUUUUUACUGGUCUUUGUUAUUUGCACGUGUUGUUAGCUCACUCCUGCUUACAUUCCUCUGAUUUCUUCUUCCUUGGUGAACAUUUUGGUGCCAAGGAUGAUUAGCAAAAGAACCAUGGAUGGAGCUGCUAUUCAAUGUGAUACAAGCCUGAUGAUUGUAACUAAGAACGGAGAUUUGAAGAUUGCUUUUGUUGAAGUCUGACCACAGUUGGGCUCCAAAAGAAUCUUAUGAAAUAAACCAAUCUAUGUUGGGGUAGAUGGAGAGAUUAACUUGCACAAGAAAUGUGAAACCAAUGGAGGAGAAGACAUCACGCUCAAUAAUUGAAAUAAUUUUUCUAUGUGUGAGGUUGUAAUAUUGAUUUUAUUUUGUUGAUGUGUUUGUCUUCUUGUAUAAGAGUUGUGCAUGUAUGCUUAUUAGUGCUAGUAAUUUUUUACUUUUGAGACUUCUUUGUAACUUUCAUUUGCAUAAUAGUAAUGCUUUUUUAGUAAA